rnacentral:lncRNA from 1 species
CCCGCUCUCCCUUUGUUCAACAAAACAGUCUUCCAAGUACACUAAACAGUAACCCUUUCCUUCUUUAUUUCCUUGCCAUAACGUAAUAAAUCCAGGACUAUUAAUAGCCCUAACGCAAGAUAACAUGAUCCUGUAUUUUAUCCUGAGAUUAUUGUCCCUUAAUCCCUCGCACCAAAUGACCCCUAAUUUUUCAGAUUGCAAAACUCACUUGUUAGACAGCUACAUAUAGUUAUCUUUUAGUUAAUAUUAUUGUAUAAAAAUUAACAUAUACCCAGAGCAAAGGAGACACUGCUACUGGGAGGGAUAUAGAUGCCUUGUGCACGAGCACCACACGGGCAACUGGAGAGGUUGUGGUACAAGCAGUGAUGCUGGCCUUCUCAUUCUCAUAAUCCUUGCCUUUGUUUUACUGCAUUCUGCUACAAGCCCUACAACAAUCUCCAUGUUCUGUAUCACUAGAAAAUUUACCUUGAAAGGAAUUAAAUCAAGCCAUGGAUUAAUCCACGUCCUUAUCUUCUUCCUGCCGUUUCCACCUACUAUCAUUAGUUUUAGAUUCUGAAACUCUU